GACGAACGCUGGCGGCGUGCUUAACACAUGCAAGUCGAACGGAAAGGCUCCAGCUUGCUGGAGUACUCGAGUGGCGAACGGGUGAGUAACACGUGGGUAAUCUGCCCUGCACUCUGGGAUAAGCCUGGGAAACUGGGUCUAAUACUGGAUAUGACCUUUCUCCUUAUGGGGUUUGGUGGAAAGUUUUUCGGUGUAGGAUGAGCCCGCGGCCUAUCAGCUUGUUGGUGGGGUGAUGGCCUACCAAGGCGACGACGGGUAGCCGGCCUGAGAGGGUGAUCGGCCAAAUUGGGACUGAUACACGCCCCAGACCCCGCGGGGGGGCGGGGGUGGGAAAUAUUGCAAAGGGGGCGGACGCCGGACGCGGCGACGCCGGGGGGGGGAGGGCGGCUUUCGGUUUAUAACCCUUUUUCAGCGGGGACGAAGCGAAAGGGAGGAUCCCUGAAGAAAAAGCCCCGGCAAAUUAUGGC
rnacentral:rRNA from 1 species